UAGCGUAUAUUAAAGUUGUUGCAGUUAAAAAGCUCGUAGUCGGAUGUCGGGCUCGGGCAGGCUGUCGGCUUCGGUCGGACGGCAGGCUCGGGUCUUUCUGCCUGAGGAUCCCGUUGCACUUAAUUGUGGGGCGUGGGGACGCAGGCCGUUUACUUUGAAAAAAUUAGAGUGUUCAAAGCAGGCCUACGCUUGAAUACAUUAGCAUGGAAUAAUGGAAUAGGACUUUGGUGCUAUUUUGUUGGUUUAUGGGACCGAAGUAAUGAUUAACAGGGACAGUUGGGGCCGUUUAUAUUUCGUUGUCAGAGGUGAAAUUCUUGGAUUUACGAAAGAUAAACUUCUACGAAAGCAUUCGGCAAGGAUGUUUUCAUUGAUCAAGAACGAAAGUUAGGGGAUCGAAGACGAUCAGAUACCGUCGUAGUCUUAACCAUAAACUAUGCCGACUAGGGAUCAGUGGAUGUCAAUUUGCGACUCCAUUGGCACCUUGUGAGAAAUCAAAGUUUUUGGGUUCCGGGGGGAGUAUGGUCGCAAGGCUGAAACUUAAAGGAAUUGACGGAAGGGCACCACCAGGAGUGGAGCCUGCGGCUUAAUUUGACUCAACACGGGGAAACUUACCAGGUCCAGACAUAGUAAGGAUUGACAGAUUGAAAGCUCUUUCUUGAUUCUAUGGGUGGUGGUGCAUGGCCGUUCUUAGUUGGG
rnacentral:rRNA from 1 species